UGGAAGAUUUGUUCCAGGCCUUGAUAAUAGAAAGGGAAAUAAAUAAGAUUCUUUCUCUUGUUAAUCAGGCUCAGGGAGAGGGAAUACCAAGUUGGCCAACUGAAGAUUCCAAAGGGAACCCAAAUUCAGAGCAAGAUUACUUACAACUAUGCCAGGCUUGAAAUGCAUUACUAAAACAAUGAGAGCCUAUUCUGAUAGACCUGGUAUGUGGACUAAAUUCGAAAAUCUAAAACAAGAAGAUAAUGAAAAUCUCAGUUUAUGGAUAGGCUUGUUGAGCUGGGAGGAAGGUAUAGAGAAUUGGAUCUUGAUAGUAGUAGUCUCUCGGUAACCAAGGAUGACAUUUGUCUUUGUGUGCUUUCAUCUGUGAUGUAGGUGAGUGUGCACAAAAAACAAUUGUGCGUGAAGGAGAUUUAAGUGGAAAAGUCAAUGCACAGAGAGAGUCCCACUCUCUUGGCAUUGGAAGCCUGGGUCCAUUGGCACGAAAAAUCGUUACACUUGGAGACUUCCUCAUCUGCAUUGGAUGGCCAUGUUGUCCUUUGUGCUCCAACACGCCCUAAGCACUCCACAGUGCUUUGCUGCGUCGCCAUCUCAGCCGUUGAACCUUCUUAUUGGUUUCUUCUGUCUGUUCAGCUGAAGCAGUCUUCACAUGCUGGAUGAUGGAUACCCCCCUUAGUUUCUUGUUCUUUGCCACCACAAAUUACAAAAGGGACCAUUUAAGAGAAAUCUGGGAAGAUUAAUAUGAACUGAUGCAAAGUUGAACCAGAAGAAAAAACUGCACAAUAACAACAUUGCAAAGACAAAGGAUUUUGAAAGACUUGAGAACUCUGGUCAAAUAUAAUGCAAUUAUUGUGGAGAAGGAGCCAGACAUCCUCAUGAAUUGCCAUUCACAGAAUAGGCAAACCAGUCUAGCUGAAACAGCAGUAAGGAGAUGGGAAAGAUGAAUAAUAGCAUUUGUCAGGCAAUUCAACAAAACUUGCCAUGUUGACCACCAUCAGCUUUCAAGCUCUGACAAGAUAGCUUAGUGUCCCAUUAACCAUUUGAUAUGCUUCAAAUGCCAAUAGUCAUUAUUGAGGGCAAAAAUUGUUGUGGAAAAGGGACCCACUUUUUUCUCACCAUCAGUGACAACUGCUGACCAUGUAUCACCAACCAGCUGAACCAAAAGAGUGACAACAUUCCCCAAAUUAGUGGUCUUGGUUCCAGACUAGCUCUCAUUGUUAUCAUCUGGAAAGGCAACUUCUAUGAAAAAGGGGACAGUCAUCCACACCAAAUGAAAGUUGGUAUUGCUGAAGCCGAAAGGAACCCUGAGGGAGAGGUUCUUAUUUCUGUAGAGUAUGAUAUAAAUAGGUUUCAUUUAUGUAUAGUAUGAAUUUUGUGAUUCUGUAAAUGUAAAUAUUUGUAAUUGUAUAUUAUUUGAGACUUAUAUGUUGCAAGAAUUCUUGUUCUUUCUCUCUUUACUGCUCCCUGUUUAAAAUAAAGAGUAUAGAAUAGUUUUGGUUUAAAGAGUU
rnacentral:lncRNA from 1 species